UAAACAACGCAAGAUAAAUACAUACACGUUAUCUAAGACAGACAGAAACUGCAUAAUUAGCAUGUAUGUUAUCAUUUGAAUUUCAAAUUAAAUGUUUUAUGCAUAUGCAGUGCUACACUCAAAAUUAAACAAUGAAUUGGAAUGUCGUCAAUGCAACUCACGUUCACUAUCACCAUCUAAACACAUUAAUAUCUAAUUAACAUUAACAUGGAAUACGAUGUAUGACGGUGCUUUUCAUGACCAUUUAUUUGUGAAAAUGCAUUUAUACAACAAUACUGUCUGGACCGUCCGGCAAGGUGAGGAGCAUAGAUCUCUCUCUCUCUAUCUCUCAUUGACUGUCGUUUUCCUUCUGUCUGUGGAUUGCUGCUACCAGGUAUGGGGAAAGUUAAAAUAAGAUACACAAUAACUUAAUUUUAAGUGUAUCAAAAUAAAGUGAAAGUGAAAUGAAA